UAGAGACCCCUGUAGUCCUAGCCGUAAACUUUGCUCGCUAGGGGUUAGAAUUUAUUUUCUGGCCCCGUAAGCUAACGCGUUAAGCGAGCCGCCUGGGGAGUACGACCGCAAGGUUAAAACUCAAAGGAAUUGACGGGGACCCGCACAACCAGUGGAGCAUGUGGUUUAAUUCGAGACGAAACGAAGAACCUUACCAAGCCUUGACAUACUACCGUUUAUGCAUCCAGAAAUGGGAGCAAAUCUAUAGAAAUAUCGAUGGUAGAACAGGUGUUGCAUGGCCGUCGUCAGCUCGUGCCGUAGGGUGUUCCCUUCAGUGGGGUAACGAGCGCAACCCUUGCCCUGAGUUGAAUAUUCUCAGGGGACUUCUUAAAUUUAUUUUAGGAGGAAGUGAGGACGACGUCAGGUCAGCAUGGCCCUUAUAGCUUGGGCUACACACAUGCUACAAUGGAGCCGACAGAGGGUAUAGCCAAGUCGCAAGACGGAGCUAAUCCCAGAAACGGCUUCUCAGUGGGGAUUGGGGGCUGCAAUUCGCCCCCAUGAACGCGGAAUUGGUAGUAAUCGCGAAUCAGCUACGUCGCGGUGAAUACGUUCUCGGGUCUUGUACACACCGCCGAAAUUUAAUUAAAGCGCGUGGCAGUUAUUUUUUCUAAGUGGUUUAAAUCCAUUCUCCGACUUCUUGUCGGAGUAGCCAAAAAAUUUUGACAGUCCUAUCAGGGUAACCGGGUAGGGCGGAGGGUCUGAGGCAAAGAGCAGGGAUGAAUUAAAAAAAGGUAGACGACUUUUGCAGGGCGGUCCUAAGGAAGUCAAUCGCAAACGCCUUUCAUUCAUGUUUGGAACAGAAAAUUUAAUAACCCACGGAGAUCCUAUCAGGAUUGAAGUAAUUGCCUGUUAGGAAGUCAGCUUAUCCGUAGUAGUACUAAUAUAUAAUUAGUAUGAAGGGAUAUCCGUAAUGAUCACGCCAGAUUAUAUAGUUGGUAUGACUGAUGGAGAGGGAUGUUUUCUUGUUAGUUUGAGACGCGAUAAUAGAAUCGAUCUUCGAUUUUUUAUCGUUCAAGCUAUUGGAAACAGAUCACUUCUUGAAAGUAUACAGAAAUUUUUUAAUGUAGGCACUGUUUAUCAAAAAGCAGAUCGUUCAGGACGACUGCCUGCCUGUAUCUUUGAAGUAACCAAAAGAGAUGACAUAUAUAAUGUUAUUAUUCCUUUCUUUAAAGAACAUAAACCGAUGGGGAUAAAAGCAAUUUCAUUUUCAGUUUUUGAAGAAAUUGACCGAAUCGUCAAAGGAAGACAGGAUAAACGGAAACUUACGUCUAAAGAAUUAGAGUACGUUACCAAUUUAAGAUCAGGUAUGAACAAACAUUAUGGCUCGCCCGGUGCGGUAAAGUCCGCUCGCCGAGGUGGGAACACGAAAUAACUUCAAAAUUAUCGUAAUCCGUCAAGUCAAUAAAGUUGGAAAUACCUUAAGCCCCGUUGUACGGGGCCAAGGUAGAGCCAGCGAUAGGGACUAAGUCGUAACAAGGUAUCCGUACUGGAAGGUGCGGAUGGAUCACCUCCUU
rnacentral:rRNA from 1 species